GGUUCUUCUUCCCAGAAGCACAGUUCAUCAUUUUCCCCUACAGAAGAAUUUACAAAGACUGGAGAGAACAAGACAGGGAGGACCAUGGAUCACUGAAGGCCUUAGGGAUGGAAAGGAGACACAAGCAACACAACACAGUGGGUGCUAUAACAUGAGAAAUUUAUUUCUCGUGGUUGAUGGACUAGAAAGUCAAAGGUCAGGUUGAAGUUGACUCGUCCCCAGUGAAGGCUCUUCAUCUCCCUGGUUGGAAGAGAGGUGCCAUCUCUCUGUAUGUGCAUAAGACCUUUCAUCUCAUCCUGUGUGGGAAGAGAAGCAGAGGGGAAAGAAGAAAGAAGAAACAAGAAAGAGGAGAGAUAGUCUCCUAUAAGGCUGCUAAGAAGGUCCUGUCAUCAUCUCAUGGAUUCUCAGUCACUCCCCAGAGCCCCCAUUGGAAAAGUGAUUGAAGCUUCAGCACAGGCUCUCGAGGGGACUCAACCAUCCAUACAGGAGCCACUUACAUUUUAUAAAUGUUGGGUGAUGCUCUGCUUGCUUCCUUCAGUGACCAGUUUCACUGGCAUUACUGAAUCUAAACAAUGUAUUUUAAAAGAGACAUGUUUUCUUUGUGUGCAUAACUCACAUAGAGAUAUAUAUGUUCAUACAUAGAUGACUAUAUAAAUAUGUGAGUAAAUUAAUAAACUAUAAAAUGUAUCUAUACAUUAACAAAUAGGGCUUGUUGGAAAUAGCUGUCAGAAAAAUCUAGGAAUAUUAUUCAAGAAGAUUUCAAAUAGAAAUGGAAAAUGUAAGAUAAUAUCUUGCUAUAUUGAAAAGUAUAUUUAUAUUAUUCUUUGUCUCAAGUAAAGGAGGUUUCUCUUGUUUUGUUUUGUUUUUUAAGGUUUCUUUCCAAUUCCUCUGAAACUAGAAUUACAGUCAGUUGUGGCCACUUGGCAUGGGUGCUGGGAACCAAACUUAGAUACUCUGGAAGAGCAGCAAGAGUUCUUUACUGCUGAGCCAUCUUCAGCCCAGAAGGGCAGACUCUUCAAACCAUUUUUUGAAAUAUAUGGACACACACGUUUUGUCUGCUAAUUCAUCUGUUUAAUAUAUUUUGUUGUUUU
ensembl:lincRNA Gm3279 predicted gene 3279